rnacentral:tmRNA from 1 species
GGGGACGCACUGGUUUUGACAGGAUGAUUUGAUGGAAGCAGAUGGCGGGUCUCGGCGCUGUUCCGAGUUAUCAACGAGCAAAAAAAUAAGUGCUACAAACAACGUAGUUAAAGCUGAUUUUUCAAGAGCAGCAGCUCUUGCUGCGUAGAGCAUAGCUCCGCAGUCCAGCCCUUGUUAUGUUUUUAACUUGCGAAAAUGUAUCAAGGAAGGAUUAGCAAGUCUGACAUUCUGAUGAGAAUAGGUAUGUUAAGUAAUAUUCUCAAGGUGAGCAUCACUUAAAAAGGCUUUGUGCAUUUCAAAUCGGUUUGAUUUUGCCGAGGGAUGUACGAGAAAAAGAAAAUCUACACUCGUAGAAGUUUGUUUUUAUCCAUUUUGGACGUGGGUUCGAUUCCCACCGUCUCCA